UACAACUAGAAAUAAAUUAUUAUUUUAAUCAAUAAGAGAGUUCGACGGAGACAGAGAGUAAGAGAUUUUUAAAUGUCUGCAGAUAUCAUCAUAUAGUCUUUAAUCAAUCCAAAAAAAGUUUGAAGAAAGUCAUUUUGUCUCUCAAUCCACCAUAUAUGAUAUUGUUGUUCGAAUCUAACAAUCAACACAUGACGAUCUAUGAUGAAUGUCAAGCACGUGGGUUGAAUGCUACUGCUAUAACAUAUAUUGAUCGAUGCAAUAAAUAUAAUAAUAAAAUG
rnacentral:lncRNA from 1 species